rnacentral:tRNA from 1 species
GUUUAGAUAGCUUAAUUAAAAGCCUAACAUUGAAAUUGUUAUUAUGAAUUUUUUCUCUAGACA